AUUGAACGCUGGCGGCAGGCUUAACACAUGCAAGUCGAGCGGAGAGAGGUAGCUUGCUACUGAUCUUAGCGGCGGACGGGUGAGUAAUGCUUAGGAAUCUGCCUAUUAGUGGGGGACAACAUUUCGAAAGGAAUGCUAAUACCGCAUACGUCCUACGGGAGAAAGCAGGGGAUCUUCGGACCUUGCGCUAACAGAUGAGCCUAAGUCGGAUUAGCUAGUUGGUGGGGUAAAGGCCGACGAAGGCGACGAUCUGUAGCGGGUCUGAGAGGAUGAUCCGCCACACUGGGACUGAGACACGGCCCAGACUCCUGCGGGAGGCAGCAGUGGGGAAUAUUGGACAAUGGGCGGAAGCCUGAUCCAGCCAUGCCGCGUGUGUGAAGAAGGCCUUAUGGUUGUAAAGCACUUUAAGCGAGGAGGAGGCUACUUUAGUUAAUACCUAGAGAUAGUGGACGUUACUCGCAGAAUAAGCACCGGCUAACUCUGUGCCAGCCGCCGCCGUAACAC
rnacentral:rRNA from 1 species